AAACAUGACUUUGAUCUGCGUCCUCGUCUGGACUCUCCUCUGCUGCUGCUUCACAGAGUCCAGAGGACAGAUCACAGUGACUCAGCCUGGAGCAGUGAGCUCUGCUGUGGGAGGAUCUGUGAGCAUCAAGUGUAGGACCAGUCAGGAUGUUUAUGUUUCUGGCAGCUCUCACUGUUUAGCCUGGUACCAACAGAGAGAUGGAAACCCCCCCAAACUGCUCAUUUACUAUGCUAGCACUCGACAGUCAGGGAUUCCAGCUCGUUUUACAGGCAGUGGAUCAAACUCUGACUUCACUCUGACCAUCAGUGGAGUCCAGGCUGAAGAUGCAGCAGUUUAUUACUGUCAGAGUCUCCAUAACAUCAACAGUCAGUGGGUGUUCACACAGUGACAAACAGUCGUACAAAAACCUCCCUCAGUCAGACUGAACAGAAACUAAACUGACUGCUGCAGCUGGAAGAUACUGCAGAGACUGAUACAGUUCACACACACACACACACACACACACACACACACACA